CAGACCGCCGAUUAAGGUCCCCAAGACAUAGUUAAGUGGAAAACGAAGUGGGAAGGCUAAAACAGUCAGGAUGUUGGCUUAGAAGCAGCCAUCAUUUAAAGAAAGCGUAAUAGCUCACUGAUCGAGUCGUCCUGCGCGGAAGAUGUAACGGGGCUCAAACUAUGCACCGAAAUCGCGGAUAUAUCUUUGAUAUAUGGUAGGAGAGCGUUCUGUAGGCCUGCGAAGGUGUCCUGUGAGGGAUGCUGGAGGUAUCAGAAGUGCGAAUGCUGACAUGAGUAGCGAUAAAGGGAGUGAAAGGCUCCCUCACCGAAAGCCCAAGGUUUCCUGUUCAACGUUCAUCGGAACAGGGUGAGUCGGCCCCUAAGGCGAGGCAGAAAUGCGUAGUCGAUGGGAAACAGGUUAAUAUUCCUGUACCUCAAUAUAAUGCGAUGUGGGGACGGAGAAGGUUAGGCAAGCCAUCUGUUGGAAUAGGUGGUUCAAGCGUGUAGGGAGAUCUCUUAGGCAAAUCCGGGAGGUCAAUUCUGAGGCGUGAUAACGAGGUGCUUAGGCACUGAAGUUGCUGAUACCAAGCUUCCAAGAAAAGCCACUAAGCUUCAGUUAUAUUUAGACCGUACCGCAAACCGACACAGGUGGGCAGGAUGAGAAUUCUAAGGUGCUUGAGAGAACUCAGGAGAAGGAACUCGGCAAAUUAGCACCGUAACUUCGGGAGAAGGUGCGCCCCGGUAGAGUGUAGAGACUUGCUCUCGAAGCUCGAUGGGGUUGCAGUGAAAUGGUGGCUGCGACUGUUUAAUAAAAACACAGCACUCUGCAAACACGAAAGUGGACGUAUAGAGUGUGACGCCUGCCCGGUGCUGGAAGAUUAAAUGAUGGGGUGCAAGCUCUUGAUUGAAGUCCCAGUAAACGGCGGCCGUAACUAUAACGGUCCUAAGGUAGCGAAAUUCCUUGUCGGGUAAGUUCCGACCUGCACGAAUGGCGUAACGAUGGCCACACUGUCUCCUCCUGAGACUCAGCGAAGUUGAAAUGUUUGUGAAGAUGCAAUCUACCCGCGGCUAGACGGAAAGACCCCAUGAACCUUUACUGUAGCUUUGCAUUGGAUUUUGAAUAAACCUGUGUAGGAUAGGUGGGAGACUAUGAAGUAGGGACGCUAGUUCUUAUGGAGUCAACCUUGAAAUACCACCCUGGUGUGUUUGAGAUUCUAACCUAGACCCCUUAUCGGGGUUGGGGACCGUGCAUGGUAGGCAGUUUGACUGGGGCGGUCUCCUCCCAAAUUGUAACGGAGGAGUACGAAGGUAUCCUAGGUACGGUCGGACAUCGUACUGAUAGUGCAAUGGCAAAAGGAUGCUUAACUGCGAGACUGACAAGUCGAGCAGAUACGAAAGUAGGUCAUAGUGAUCCGGUGGUUCUGUAUGGAAGGGCCAUCGCUCAACGGAUAAAAGGUACUCUGGGGAUAACAGGCUGAUUCCUCCCAAGAGUUCAUAUCGACGGGGGAGUUUGGCACCUCGAUGUCGGCUCAUCACAUCCUGGGGCUGUAGCCGGUCCCAAGGGUAUGGCUGUUCGCCAUUUAAAGUGGUACGUGAGCUGGGUUUAAAACGUCGUGAGACAGUUUGGUCCCUAUCUGCCGUGGGCGUUGGAAAUUUGAAGGGACCUGCUCCUAGUACGAGAGGACCGGAGUGGACGAAUCUCUGGUGUACCGGUUAUCACGCCAGUGGUAUUGCCGGGUAGCUAAAUUCGGAAGAGAUAACCGCUGAAAGCAUCUAAGCGGGAAACUCGCCUUGAGAUUAGAUUUCCCUGGGGGUUUAACCCCCCUAAAGAGUCGUUCGAGACUAGGACGUUGAUAGGUCAGGUGUGGAAGCGCGGUAACGCGUUAAGCUAACUGAUACUAAUUGCUCGUGAGGCUUGAUCCU
rnacentral:rRNA from 1 species